CUGUCCACGGCGAGCAACCGGCGGGGAGCUCAGCUCCUCCCCUUCCUCCCCUCGGCCAGCCAUGGCACUCGGCACCCAUGCAGCAAGAUCCCUCUUUCCCACGGUCGGUCAUCGUCCCCCUGGUCCUGCUCGGCGACGCCCUUCUCCACUAGGCCAGUGAGCAGGUCUUCUUCCUUUCCCCCAUCCGAGCUCCGUCCAUGGCUGCUCCUCUCUCUACCAAGCACCCUCCCCAACUCUCCUACACCAGACGCGCCCCCUAUUGUCGUGCCUCUGCUCUUCCCCAUGGUCGCGAUUCUGCGCAGAGCUACGAGCAGGAGCACACCAUGGCCGGAUCUACCCCCUCCAUGGAUGCCCCCUUGUUGUUCCCUGCGCCCAGCUCAUCCCCUCCCUAGCGCCCCCUUCUGCUCCAUGGCUGCAAGAAGCCUCUCCAUGGCUGACGCACAGAAGGCCAGCAGCUCUGCUCGCCCCAGCCAUGGACCAUCGCGCAGAGCGCUGUCGGCCUCUUGA
rnacentral:misc_RNA from 1 species